rnacentral:rRNA from 1 species
AGUGAACGCUGGCGGUAGGCCUAACACAUGCAAGUCGAACGGCAGCACAGUAAGAGCUUGCUCUUACGGGUGGCGAGUGGCGGACGGGUGAGGAAUACAUCGGAAUCUACUUUUUCGCGGGGGAUAACGUAGGGAAACUUACGCUAAUACCGCAUACGACCUACGGGUGAAAGCAGGGGAUCUUCGGACCUUGCGCGAAUGAAUGAGCCGAUGUCGGAUUAGCUAGUUGGCGGGGUAAAGGCCCACCAAGGCGACGAUGCGUAGCUGGUCUGAGAGGAUGAUCCGCCACACUGGAACUGAGACACGGUCCAGACUCCUACGGGAGGAAGCGGUGGGGAAUAUUGGACAAUGGGGGCAAGCCUGAUCCAGCCAUACCGCGUAGGUGAAGAAGGCCUUCGGGUUGUAAAGCCCUUUUGUUGGGAAAGAAGAGCAGCAGGUUAAUACCCCGCUGUUCUGACGGUACCCAAAGAAUAAGCACCGGCUAACUUCGUG